rnacentral:rRNA from 1 species
UGGGGAAUCUUGCGCAAUGCGCGAAAGCGUGACGCAGCAACGCCGCGUGGGUGAAGAAGGCCUUCGGGUUGUAAAGCCCUUUCAGUUGGGACGAAGCUUCGUCGGUGAAUAGCCGGCUGGAGUGACGGUACCUUCAGAAGAAGCCCCGGCUAACUACGUGCCAGCAGCCGCGGUAAUACGUAGGGGGCAAGCGUUGUCCGGAAUCAUUGGGCGUAAAGCGCGUGUAGGCGGCUCGAUAAGUCUGCUGUGAAAGUCCAGGGCUCAACCCUGGAAUGCCGGUGGAAACUGUCGAGCUAGAGUCCGGAAGAGGCGAGUGGAAUUCCUGGUGUAGCGGUGAAAUGCGCAGAUAUCAGGAGGAACACCAAUGGCGAAGGCAGCUCGCUGGGACGGUACUGACGCUGAGACGCGAAAGCGUGGGGAGCAAACAGGAUUAGAUACCCCCGUAGUCC